rnacentral:rRNA from 1 species
UACGUAGGGGGCAAGCGUUGUCCGGAAUUAUUGGGCGUAAAGCGCGCGCAGGCGGUUAAUUAAGUUGGGUGUUUAAGCCCGGGGCUCAACCCCGGUUCGCAUCCAAAACUGGUUGACUUGAGUGUAGGAGAGGAAAGUGGAAUUCCACGUGUAGCGGUGAAAUGCGUAGAGAUGUGGAGGAACACCAGUGGCGAAAGGCGACUUUCUGGCCUAUAACUGACGCUGAGGCGCGAAAGCGUGGGGAGCAAACAGG